rnacentral:lncRNA from 10 species
CACAUUUAGAAAGUGGUCAAGAAAUGCUAACUGCUGUUGUUUGCAGCAAUCUAACAGGAUGCCAGGACCUGGAGAGGCUGUUUUCCCAAGCCUUUGUCUGAGAUGGGAUUCCUGAGGUGGUUACUGAGCCUGAGGUGGUUACUGAACCAAUGCCUCCUCUGCUCUCUAAGCUCCGGUAGAACAAGUUAGGGACAGAGUCAUGCUCUGGGGCUGGAAGCUUAAAACCUGGAAGAUAUCCCAGGCAGGGCAUGUCAGAACCCAAAUGCAUAUGGACUUGAUAGAGCCUGGAGAGUGACUGAAAUCACAGCUGCCCAACUUAUAUGCGGAAGUCUCCUACCGAGGGAAGAAAACCACAGAUUCUCAGAGCCAGAAGGAAACUGCAAAGAGUAGUAUGAAAUAUUUGUAUUCACUUAAAGUGGAAAGACAAUCUGCACACCUGGAGGAGAUAUUUGCAACAUUUACAACUGGCAAAGGUUUAUUACCAAGAAUAUAUAAAGAAGUCUUAUAAAUCAACAAGAAAGAAGAAAAACAACAGAAAGAAAUGGACAAAAGAAAAAGCAUUUUAUAAAAGAAGAAAUGCUCAUGGCCAGCAAACAUAUGGAGAUGUUCAAACUCAUGUGAAAUGUAAAUCAAGACCCAAUAAGAUAAGCUUUUAUGUCCACUAAAAUGGCAAAAUGUUAAUAGCUAGACAAUCCAAGUAUUGGAGAACAUACAGAUCCAUGGGAUCUCUUACAUAUCGCUUAUAAGGGUACGCAUUAGGACAUAGGACACUCACUUAGAAAAAGUGUGGCAUUAUCUUGCAAAAUCAAACACUCACAUAGGCUGCUGUGCAGGUCCUGAGUCUGUUUGCCCUCAGAUCCACUCUUUGCUAUGCCCUUAUGUCCUCAGUUUUCCAGCAGGAUCUCGGCAGCCAUGUCAUCUUGCUUCCAGUUGGGCUCAGUUAAUAAAAGAGAGAGAAUGGAAGGUGGAAAGAAGGGAGAAGCCAAGGUGUUUCUCACCAGCACCCUCCCCUUCUCCUCUCAGGUAACAUCCCCUGUGGUGGCCACAGCUCUCCGAUGGGUCCAGUUCCCACAGGAAAGCCAGCCAUGAUUCUAACUUCUACCAGGUGACCCUGGCCCUGGGCUCUGGUGACACUAACCUUUUGUUUCUCUAGUCCUGGGGAGGGGUAGUAACAGCUUCCUGCUAUUAUUAAUUUAUGGAUUGCCUCAUUGCCUCCUGUGAGGCUUCUCAGCUAUUGAUUACCAUACUACUCAGCAAUAAAAAGGAAAAAACUAUUGAUACAUGCAACAACUUUGUCGGACCACAAGAGAAUUUUACCAACUAAAAAAGCCAGUCUCACAUUGUUACAUACUAUAUGAUUCCACUUACAUAACCUUCUAGAAAUGACAAAAUUAUUGAGGUGAAGAACAGAUUAGUGGUUGCCAAGGGUUAAAGACAGGGUUGGGGUUGGAGAAAGAAAUCAGUGUACCUAAAAAGAAGCAGCCAGAGGGAUCUUUGUGGUGACGGGACAGUUCUGUAUCUUGAUUGUGGUGGUGGUUAUACAAAUCUACGUGUAAUAAAGUUUUAUGUGUGCAUAGAACUAUGUACAUACUCAAACAAAUGCAUGUAACCCUGGUGAAAUCUGAAUAAGGUCUGUGGAUUGUGCCAAUACCAGUGACCUGGUUUUGAUACUGUAUUAUAGCUAUCUAAGACAUUAUUAUCAGGAGAAAAUGGGGGAAAGGUACAUGUACUUUUCUGUACUAUUUUUGCAACUUCUCGUGAAUCUGUUACUAUUUCAAAAUUAAAAGUAUCUGAAAAUCCAUAGAGUGGUUUCUGUUUUUUCUGAUUAGACCCUGACUGAUACUCCUACAACCCCACAAUUCCUUCCGCUCCUAGAUGUAUA